CGGCUCACUGCAACCUCUGCCUCCUGGGUUCAAGCAAUUCUCCUGCCUCAGCCUUUUGAGUAGCUGGGAUUACAGGCAUGUGCCACCAUGCUCAGCUAAUUUUUGUAUUUUUUUAGUAGAGAUGGGGUUUCACCAUGUUGGUCAGGCUGGUCUCAAACUCCUGACCUCGUGAUUUGCCUGCCGUGGCCUCCCAAAGUGCUGGGAUUGCAGGUGUGAGCCACCGUGCCUGGCCUGUGUUUUAAGAUGAUUUCCUGGAUUCUUGUUGAACUACCAAGGCAGGUGUUUGCUCCCAGGCUUCACCAUCAAAUUCCCUAACGGCUGUGUUCUGGGUUGAGUCACUUUAAUGAGCUGCCCUGCCGUUCCCAGGUGAGAUGUCAAUUAGAAUUUGCAAUCCCAAUACCAGGGCCACGUUCUCACCACCUGAAGAAACCCUAACAGUCGAGACAGAAUGAAUGAAGGACAGAUCAAUGGGCUGGGUCUGUACAAGCACACCCAUAGGGCAACCCAAGGGCACGUUAUUUUGGUCUGAGUUAUCUCCUGAGUCAUGGACAUGAGUCUGGGAAGGUCAAGGUUCGCCUGUUAUCGUUAUGGAAAGACACUGACCUUAUGUGCUGGGCUGUGCCGUGGGCGCCUUCUUAUUACAUCCUCAGAACAGCCUCAGGAUGGCUCAUGAUUCCCUCAAUCACAGAUGAGGACCUGAGGCUCAGGAAAGAUACAUUUGCAUCUUGUAGGUCUGGGUUCAGCCUGGACCCACGGUUUCCAUGCUUGCCCUGACCCUUCAUUCCCUCCAUUCCCUCCCAGCAGCCAGUCAGUGGCUGUCCAGACAUGUGCACCAGCUGUGCUGCACCUCCACCAUAAAAACUCCUCCAAUCACUUCCCACUGCUCCCCAUGUGAACCCCAAGGGGGCUCACCCUGUCCCAGGAGGUUCUGCCUGAUCCACACCCCCCACCCCUUCCUGCAUCCCUGCAACCUGCUCUCCCUACGUCCUCAGUCCUGGCGUCCUCUCUGUUCCCUGGACUUGUCCAGCCCAGUCCUACCUCCAGGCCUUGGCACCUGCUGUGCCCUUGACCUGGCGUGAUCUCCUGAUGGCCGUUACUGGGCUGGAAACUUCUCAGUGCUCAGCUUGAGCUCAAAGCCCACCUCUUCAGAGAGGCUGUCCCCAUCCACUGUGGCCUUUCUUCCCUUUGCUCUUUCAAUUCCCAGUUUAUUUCCUGUAGAGCAGUUUCACCCUCUUCACCAAUCUUGUUUAUUUCCUUGUUUAUUGUGCCUCCUUUACCAGAACGUUCACCCUCUGAGGGCCUGGGCCAGGUCUGUCUGUUCACAGCUCUAGUGCUCAGAGAAGUCACUGCAUAAAUAAACAAAUACUUUGCUCAGAAAAUUGUGGAUAUGUAAAUGA
rnacentral:lncRNA from 1 species